AGGUGGCAGCAGAAAGAGUGACUCAGCGACUCUGGUUACAAAAGAGCUUUGCAGCCCUAGGCUCUCUAACCGGGACUUGUGGCACCUUGAAGGCUAACCAGUUUAUUGUGGAAAUUAAGCCUGGUAGCACAAACCCCAGAACGUCUCACUCCUCUCGGGAGCAUGUAUCAACAAUAUGCUUUUACUAUGAAAGCACGGCCUUUGGAAGAUAGGCCAAAAGAAUAUACAGCAAAAACUCGUGAAGUAAUUCUGCAAAUAUGAACAAGCCCCUGAAAAUUUGGGGGAAGCUAGUGAUUAAAAUAUGGCCAAAGUGAUAAAGCAAGAGUUCAAAUGAGGAGUUUGAGCUUCAAGAAAAACCUUGCUUAGCUUUAAAACAAAUGGAGAAGAUGAGGAAGCAACAGACAGUUGUUGGGUAAUAUUUCAGAUUUGUGUUUAGACAGUAGGCCACUGAAUAGCUGGUGCUUGAAACAAACAGCAGGAAAAGGUUGUGGCCUUCCUACACUGCUUCUGCACUUCCAGGAGGCAUCUGAUUGGCUAGUGUGAAAAGCAGGAUUCUGGACAAGAUAGGCUUUUCUUCUACACACAACAGGAGACGGGUUUGGGUAUCUGCUGCAAAGACUGCACAGCCCUCAAUUCCACACAACUGCCACGUGGCCAGAUGGAGAAGAUAAACUGCAUGGAAGUUGCAUGGUUUUGUGGGUCUCUCAGGUGGUGGAACAGACAUGCCCAAGAUCUUUCUCAAGCCCCAAAGCAUAGCAUUCAGGAAUCCUCGGAGCGGUUGGGGUUUAAAGAAAUUGCAAAAAGAAAAGACACAAUGCAGUUAUGAAGAACAUGCCUGCAACCCUUUUUCCCUUCAAUGCUAUGAAUUUAUUGACUGCCAGAUUAGACCAGGUUCAAAAAAACAGGACAUACACAUCUGUGACAGAAUGUGGAAUUUAAGAGAGUGCAGAGGUAUGAGAAAGCUGCCUAGACAGGUCUUGAGGCAGGAAUAAAAGAGGAAAAUCCUUCUACAGUUUACUCAUCGGACAUUCCAAUGGCUCAAAACUGAUCUCAAUUGGCUCCCCUUUAUUAUUAUUAUUUCUAUAAUAAUUUUAUUUAUUUAUUUGAUUUUUAUACCGCCCUUCCAAAAUGGCUCAGGGCGGUUUACAAUUAAAACAAAACCUUUGCCAGGAAACCUAGAAAAUUGUACUUUAGUGUGAGAUUUCUAAACACCUUCCUAAAACUACAA